rnacentral:tRNA from 2 species
AGAAAGAUAAGCUAAUUAAGCUACCAGGUUCAUACCCUGUUUAUAGAAGUAAAAUCUUCUUCUUUCUA